rnacentral:lncRNA from 1 species
CAGCAAGACUGCAUGGCCUGAGUCCCACUAUGGGGGCUGCUGGCCCAGACACCUCUGGGAGCUGGGCAUGGUGGCUCCUGUCCUGGCCAAUGGACCCUCUGGCAGAGCAUCACAGUGGGAGCAUGUGCAGAGCAGAGCCACUCACACAUGAGCCAGGAAGCUGAGGCCUCGGGCAUCAUGAGCCCCCUGCUGGGGAGAUGGGCUACUCUGCAGAGCUCAUGGGACAGAGCUGGAGGGCAGAGUGGCCCUGACAGCACAGCCCACUGCCUCCCUGGAGCCGCAGCCUGGAAGCUACACAGCCUCAGUGGAACACAG